UACGUAGGGUGCAAGCGUUAAUCGGAAUUACUGGGCGUAGAGCGUACGCAGGCGGCUUUGCAAGACAGGUGUGAAAUCCCCGGGCCUAACCUGGGAACUGCAUUUGUGACUGCAUGGCUAGAGUUUGUCAGAGGGGGGUGGAAUUCCACGUGUAGCAGUGAAAUGCGUAGAUAUGUGGAGGAACACCGAUGGCGAAGGCAGCCCCCUGGGAUGUGACUGACGCUCAUGUACGAAAGCGUGGGGAGCAAACAGG
rnacentral:rRNA from 1 species